rnacentral:rRNA from 1 species
UACGUAGGGGGCGAGCGUUGUCCGGAUUUACUGGGCGUAAAGAGCGCGUAGGCGGUCUGUUAAGUGUGAAGUGAAAUCUCUAGGGCUCAACCCAGAAACUGCUUUACAUACUGGCAGACUUGAGUGAUGAAGAGGUUUGUGGAAUUCCUGGUGUAACGGUGAAAUGUGUUGAUAUCAGGAGGAACACCGAUGGCGAAGGCAGCUCGCUGGGACGGUACUGAC